UACUUGAUACAAUAAUUAAUUAUAACUGUUCGUAUACUUAUUUUUUUUUAAUAACGUUUAGUCUUAUUAAAAAUGUUUUUUAUUAAAUAUUGUCUGACAUUAUGAAUAUUGUGUUUAAUUUGUAUGAAAGUUAAAAUUUUGUGUAGUUUAUUAUUUCAUAAAUUUUUUUGUCAACGUUUAGUUAGUCUUAUCUAUAAUAUAUGAAGCUGUAAUUUUUGGAUAUACUUACUGUUAUUUAUUUAUCAAUCAAGUCAAAUACACAUUAUUUAUUUGUUCUCUAUAGGAAAUUGUAAAAGAUCAAAUAAGCCUCCUUGGAGUAUUAUUUGAAAAGUAUAAUGGAGUUUGAAUGAUCGAAUCACUUGAUGAUGCAGGAGAUUCAUAACCACUUUGAUCAACCGAUGCACUCUCUGAUUGGGAAGUCGAAGGUCCAGAAUUUGAACAACGUUCUAUGAUUUCCUGCUGUCUUUGAAAAAUUAUGUUAUCUAAAAUUAAAUAAUAAAUUGUUAUGAAUAAUACUAAAACUGUUAAUAGUAUUAUAUUUUUUUAUAAAAUUUGAAUUAUUUUAGAUAUAAUAAAUAAUAAUAUAUAAUAAA